CACACCGCCCGUCACACCGUGGGAGUUGGUUUCACCCGAAGGCAGUGCGCUAACCGCAAGGAGGCAGCUGACCACGGUGGGAUCAGCGACUGGGGUG
rnacentral:rRNA from 1 species